AUGAUGGAGUUGAAGGUGAUCUCGUGGAUACCACAGGACUCCAUGCCCAGGAAGUGUAAGACCCCCUUUUGGGGACCCCCACUCUAGUCUCAGGAGUGUGAGAGCACCCAAAGAAACACGAGGACCC
rnacentral:pre_miRNA from 7 species